AUAGCUUAGACUUGCUGGCGUUCCUUUCCCUCUGGCUCAUACUCUUUCAUACUUACACCACCCGUCUCCCCUGCUGUUAACGUGUAUGUUUCAGUUAGCAGGUCUGAGUAGGAUGCAUUGCAGCCCAGUUUAUCCUGGAUCCCUGGAGAGGGCCCAUAUGUCGCUGUACUUAUAAUGCCCAUGUGGUGUUCCUCAAAGGACUGGAUCGUAUGGCCCUUCUGUGAUGUUUACAUUUGGUGCCAUCACUUCCGGCUUGCAGUUUCAGCUUGGAAUCCUUUAUGCAGAUGAUUGAAGUUGUGUUCUCUGGCUCAAACCCCUCUGCCUGUAUACCCUGCCACAUGGGCCUUGCUGACUGUCAGGGAAGUACUUUUAUUCUGUGGUGCUAUCAGCACUAGAGGAAGACAGCAGUGAAAUUUGCCAUGAAUCAGCACUGUGCCUGCUAAUGUCUCAGAUCCCUCCCGUCCUCAUUUUCUGUCCUGAGAGAACCAGGCCGUACUGUGACCCUUCACUCUUCUGUAGUCUCUUUCUCUUGCUGUCGCUCUUAUCUCUCAGCCCAGUCACAGCCUCACACACACAAAUCACUUUGUCCCAUUUGAGUUUCCAUGGAAGAGCUAGAAAAGACACACUUGACUGAAAGCUGACUUUUCUAAUGUAGACUAUCUGUGCCACCCUACAGAAGGAGAUGGUAGAUUCUGUCUAAGUUCAUGGGAGAAUAAAACAGCUUUCAACAACAACAACAAAAAAUAAUGACAGCUUUCAGUCUGUUUUAGUCUUAGUUUUUGUCUUUUGAUGGACAUGUUCUUUAAAUAUAGUAUCUUUAAAUGUAGUCUUAGUCUUUUAAUAUAUUUUAGCCUGUUUUACUCUAAUAAAAAAAAUACAUGAUUUUUUUUGUUGACUGAAAUAACAUUUUUGUUGAUGUGCCAAAUACUACAAAUACUUGCCAAAGCAUAACAGACCAAAUUCAGUCAAGUAUUAGAAUUUUGAAAAUUUAAACAUUUGUAGUUUG